GAUGAACGCUGGCGGCGUGCCUAAUACAUGCAAGUCGAGCGAACAGACGAUGAUCUUGCUCCUCUGACGUUAGCGGCGGACGUGUGAGUAACACGUGUAUAACCUACCUAUAAGACUGGGAUAACUUCGGGAAACCGGAGCUAAUACCGGAUAAUAUAUUGAACCGCAUGGUUCAAUAGUGAAAGACGGCUUUGCUGUCUCUUCUAGAUGGAUCUGCGCCGCAUUAGCUAGUUGGUAAGGUAACGGCUUACCAAGGCAACGAUGCGUAGCCGACGUAAGAGAGUGUUCGGCAACACUGGAACUAAGACACCGUCAAGACUCCUGAGGGAGGCAGCAGUAGGGAAUCUGACGCAACAGGCGAAAGCUUGACGGAGCAGCGCAGAGUGAGUGAUGAAGGUCUUCGGAUCGUAAAACUCUGUUAUUAGGGAAGAACAAAUGUGUAAGUAACUAUGCACGUCUUGACGGUACCUAAUCAGAAAGCCACGGCUAACUACGUG
rnacentral:rRNA from 1 species